UACGUAGGGUGCGAGCGUUGUCCGGAAUUAUUGGGCGUAAAGAGCUCGUAGGCGGUUUGUCGCGUCUGCUGUGAAAACUCGGGGCUUAACCCCGGGCCUGCAGUGGGUACGGGCAGACUAGAGUGCGGUAGGGGAGACUGGAAUUCCUGGUGUAGCGGUGAAAUGCGCAGAUAUCAGGAGGAACACCGGUGGCGAAGGCGGGUCUCUGGGCCGUAACUGACGCUGAGGAGCGAAAGCGUGGGGAGCGAACAGG
rnacentral:rRNA from 1 species